AAAUGCUGCAAAUUCAUUCUGCAAAGAGAGAAUGGCUACAUCAGGAAUAUUUUUAAAGCAUUAAUUUUACACGGCUUUUAGAGCCUUCAGGAGAUGUGAGGCCUGAGGUGAGCAGGAAGAAGAUGAGGUAGAGGAGCGAGAGCAGCGGUGGUGGAGGCAGACAAAGACAUAAUGAGAAAUACACGAUGAAAUGUCCAAAUCUUAAAGCUAGAGCUAUUUGUGAAAACUAACAAAUACCUGACAUGUUACAACAAUUUUCAGCUAUAUUUCGGUGUUUAAAAUGUUCAUCAGAUUUCCCCUUUCUUUCAAAAUUGUCUGGAUUUUGAAUAGAUUUCUACUGGGGUAUAGAGGGUUGUCCUAAGCUAAGCUAACCAGGGGCUGGCUGCAUUCUUCUAUUCAACGGACAGAUAAAAGAGCGGUGUUUAUCUUCUCAUCCAACUCUUGGCAAGAAAGUGGCUAAAGCUGGAUACAAGACGUGACCUCAACGCUGACCCUCACAGAUGAGACAUGUUUCUCUCUUCCCUCCCUGUAGACAUAUCAACACGAUCGGCCUACAUUUGCUGCUUGACAGGUGAGAGCAGGUGGGAGAGCCGUGGGUGUUGUUAACUCAGAGGUGAAAAGAAAGGCCCGGACUGAUGUCGUUCUCCGUCCUCCCUCUGUUCUGAUUUCUGCUCCUGCGUUGGCGUGAGUCUGCUCUCGGCUCCAAGGGCAAACAAAAAGGGAAACGGCAGCAGGUUGUCACGGCAACACAGGAGCUACUCAUACAUACAGCGUGAGGAAGAGCGUCAGUGGGCUGGAGCUGAGGAACCUUUCACGACUUCCGCUGAUGAGUGGGCAUCUAAAGAUGGGAGCAUGUCACGAGCUUUAUUUAUAGCGGGCUGUAUCUUUAGUAGCUGGUGGCCUAUUUUAACACAGACAGUGAUCUAUAAGUCUCAGCAUGCACCACAACAUACAAAAAAUAGAACUUAGAGAUCGUACUAUUAAAUCAACCUUGUUCCUGAAAAGCAGGAAUGACGCACAACAUGGAAAUUAAACAGGUGUAUUUAUUUGCAAAGCAUUUAAAUAUUACACUGAUGGAAAAUAUUGCAAAGUUGCAAAUUUUAUCCGUGUUUAUGCCGAAACUAUAAAAGGCCGAUGGGUUGUUGUCGUCACCUGCUGUGGUUUUGAAUGCAGCAUCUCGAGAACAAGGCAACAUAGGA
rnacentral:lncRNA from 1 species